rnacentral:rRNA from 1 species
CACGUAGGGGGCAAGCGUUGUCCGGAUUUAUUGGGCGUAAAGGGCUCGUAGGCGGUUCGACAAGUCGGGUGUGAAACCUCCAGGCUCAACCUGGAGUCGCCACUCGAAACUGUUGUGACUUGAGUCCGGUAGGGGAGCAUGGAAUUCCUGGUGUAGCGGUGGAAUGCGCAGAUAUCAGGAGGAACACCAGUGGCGAAGGCGAUGCUCUGGGCCGGUACUGACGCUGAGGAGCGAAAGCAUGGGGAGCGAACAGG